rnacentral:rRNA from 1 species
UACGGAGGGGGCGAGCGUUAUUCGGAAUUAUUGGGCGUAAAGGGCGCGUAGGCGGCUUGACAAGUCAAAGGUGAAAUCCCUCGGCUCAACUGAGGAACUGCCUUUGAAACUGUCUGGCUUGAGGCCGGGAGGGGGUAGCGGAAUUCCCAGUGUAGCGGUGAAAUGCGUAGAUACUGGGAGGAACACCAGUGGCGAAGGCGGCUACCUGGACCGGUUUCUGACGCUGAUGCGCGAAAGCGUGGGUAGCAAACAGG